rnacentral:ncRNA from 1 species
UGACCUCAAAUCAGGUAGGACUACCCGCUGAACUUAAGCAUAUCAAUAAGCGGAGGAAAAGAAACUAACAAGGAUUCCCCUAUACUGCGAGUGAAGCGGGAAAAGCUCAAAUUUAAAAUCUGGCGGUCUUUGGCCGUCCGAGUUGUAGUCUGGAGAAGUGCUUUCCGCGCUGGACCGUGUAUAAGUCUCUUGGAACAGAGCGUCAUAGAGGGCGAGAAUCCCGUCUUUGACACGGACUACCAGUGCUUUGUGAUGCGCUCUCAAAGAGUCGCGUUGUUUGGGAAUGCAGCGCAAAAUGGGUGGUGAAUUCCAUCUAAAGCUAAAUAUUGGCGAGAGACCGAUAGCGAACAAGUACCGUGAGGGAAAGAUGAAAAGCACUUUGGAAAGAGAGUUAAACAGUACGUGAAAUUGCUGAAAGGGAAACGCUUGAAGUCAGUCGCGUUGUCCGGGACUCAGCCUUGCUUCGGCUUGGUGCACUUCCCGGAUGACGGGCCAGCAUCGAUUUUGACCGCUGGAAAAGGGCUGGAGGAAUGUGGCACCUUCGGGUGUGUUAUAGCCUCCAGUCGCAUACACUGAGACUGCCAAGGCACACAGGGGAUAGGNNGG